CCCCUUUGGCAGUUCCUCUUGGAGAGAGCUAAAUGGUGCACUGCCACACCACCAGAGAAAUAUUGAUCUCCAAUAUUGGAUAUUGUUUCAGAUUUGAGGUUCAAUUUACAAGCCCAUAUGCUCUUGUGUUUUUCUCCACACUAAGUGAUUUGGUGAAGAAACUGUGUACUUAUGUAAACCAAUGUAGUGACCAGAGUCACACCACCAGAUUCUAUUAGUCUUGGCUCUGCCAUUCUCUAGAUGCUUCACUUACUUCAGCCUUAGUUUCCUCAUCUGUAACAUUGUUACGGAUAAUGAUAUCCACCUCGUGAGGUUGUGAUCAUUAAAAAGGAUAACAUGUGAGAGAGUGUUUCACAAAGAUAAGAUUGUUUGACCACUUUGUUCAUAUCCUGAUGGUCCCACCUGAUUUCUGGAAUGCUAAAGAAUUUCAAAGGCAGAUAAUGCCAUGUUGAAUUUUCUCAGCUAUCAGCAAAAUUUGGCAUGAAAAUCAUAUCUACCUAUGAAAAGUUGCCUGAAACUCAUUCUAGUUGAGCCCGUUUGCACAUCAGUCAGGGUUUUCUUGCAGUUAUUUCCUCUUACAGCACUUGUUCAUUUCCAAGGAGGAAUCCUUUACUCCACUCCAGCCUCUGUUCAAUCAGUGUCUCCUCCUAGGCCUGCCUUCGCCAAUAGCAGCUCCAUCACCUUUUGCCCUCACCUUGCUUUGUUUUCCUUCAUAGCGCAUAUCAGUUCUCGAUGUUACAAUGUUUACCUAUUAGUGAUGGUUGCCUUCUUUACUAAAACAUAAGCUUCAUGAGGGUAGGGCUUCAUCUGUUUCAUUCACUAUUAUAUCCUUUAGAAUGCUACCUGGUGUCUAGUAAGGAACUGACUUUUUUAACUGAAUGAAAUUCACAUGUGGUUUUCGAAAGGAAUGAAAUAGCACAUAAGAAAUUUUUCAUGAAUAUCCUGGUCUACCUUAAUGGUAAGCGGGAGAGCAAGAAAGACGCUAAUUAUAGAAUACCUCAGAUGGGUCCUGCCUCUUCCUCAGUCAGACCUUUCACCGGAAUUGCUGGCAAGAAGCAAAUGGGCAGGUUUGGCACUCAUCAUUUUCCCUUACUCAGUUUCUCUAGGGGAGGUGGGCAAGGGUUUUGUAAAGACUCAUGGUAAUCAUGUGGUAACACAAAACUGAAUAAGAGCCCUGUCUAGCCUAUCAAUGGGACACUCAGCAUUUGAGGGUCAAGAAUGGUUCUGUCUGUUUUAGCUUGUCCUAUAAGUCAUGAGCAAAGACACAAGUUGUGGUGCAAAGAAGAGAAAAUACUUGCUUUGUUUUCACCUAAAGGGCAAAACUGGCAUCACAGAAUGACUGAUGCCUAUUGCUUAGGUCUAUCCAGCAAAAAAGGGGCUAUCACUCAGGGAGGAAGCGUUGUUCGUCCUUCUCAGCAUUCAAGCUGAGGGUCGUGUCAAUCUAGAAAUGUUGUAGAGGUGGUUUCUGGGUGAAUAUAGGGGGUUCAGACUAGGGGAACUUUGGAGUCCUUUCUCAUUUACUGAUUCUAUGAAUUUGAGUCUCCUCUGAGCUAACAAAUUGUUUACUUAGAAAGUCAACAGAGAGAAAAAGGGACAUGGGGUCAUCGAGCACCCAGAUGGAAUGCAGUAAACUCUCAUACUUGUUUAUUUAAGACAACUCACUCUCGUCUUAGCCAAGAAAUAAUCUGUGGAUCAUCUUCAGUUUGUAACUGCCUUCAGAGUGAUCUGUGUUUUCUGGGAGAGAGAAAUCUUAACCCCAAAUCCCCAGGACUCCAGGGAUCCCCGCAGGUAGAGGGGAGACAGUCUGCCAAACACAGAACCCAUCUGAGAAGAACCAAGGGCAGAGCUGAAAUUCCAGCAGUCAUCUCUCCUUAAAGGUGGCCCUUCUUGCCCCCAUUCAUGGAGGAGAGAGUUGGCCCCAUUCACUCAGGAGCGCAAGUCUAAUUCUCCUGAUAAUGUGGUCAGCAGCUACUUAAUCAGAAAGAUCAACUCAACAUUUUCCCUUGACCCAAUUAGAUUAUCGAAUCUCCAAUAAACUUCAUCUGUUAUCUCUGGAA